CAUCAUAUAGGACAUCUUGAUUGUUCCACUGAAUGCAACUAAAAAUACAAGCUUAUUUGUGUUGCUGAUAACCUGCCUUGGAUGUCCACGUCCUCCAAGAUAUCAUGUCUCCCGCCAUUGGUAUUCUCUCCAUGAGUUCUACUCAGGACGCCUAUCACACAAUUUUACUGCUACCAUUAGAAAUAAAUUUUCCCAAAGGUU